rnacentral:rRNA from 1 species
AACGGACGCUGGCGGCAUGCCUAACACAUGCAAGUCGAACGAGGCCUUCGGGUCUAGUGGCGCACGGGUGCGUAACGCGUGGGAACCUGCCCUUAGGUUCGUAAUAACUCCCCGAAAGGGGUGCUAAUACCGGAUAAUGUCUUCGGACCAAAGAUUUAUCGCCUUUGGAUGGGCCCGCGUUGGAUUAGCUAGUUGGUAGGGUAAAAGCCUACCAAGGCGACGAUCCAUAGCUGGUCUGAGAGGAUGAUCAGCCACACUGGGACUGAGACACGGCCCAGACUCCUACGGGAGGCAGCAGUGGGGAAUAUUGGACAAUGGGCGAAAGCCUGAUCCAGCAAUGCCGCGUGAGUGAUGAAGGCCUUAGGGUUGUAAAGCUCUUUUACCCGGGAUGAUAAUGACAGUACCGGGAGAAUAAGCUCCGGCUAACUCCGUG